GUGGGUGUCGCCAAGUGGUAAGGCACUGGACUGUGACUCCAGCAUUCGCGGGUUCAAACCCCGUCGCUCAUC
rnacentral:tRNA from 1 species